rnacentral:piRNA from 1 species
UGGUGUUGCAGAACCUGGGGGAAUGGCCAA